GAUGAACGCUGGCGGCGUGCCUAAUACAUGCAAGUCGAGCGAACAGAUGAGGAGCUUGCUCCUCUGACGUUAGCGGCGGACGGGUGAGUAACACGUGGAUAACCUACCUAUAAGACUGGAUAACUUCGGGAAACCGGAGCUAAUACCGGAUAAUAUAUUGAACCGCAUGGUUCAAUAGUGAAAAACGGUUUUGCUGUCACUUAUAGAUGGAUCCGCGCCGCAUUAGCUAGUUGGUAAGGUAACGGCUUACCAAGGCAACGAUGCGUAGCCGACCUGAGAGGGUGAUCGGCCACACUGGAACUGAGACACGGUCCAGACUCCUACGGGAGGCAGCAGUAGGGAAUCUUCCGCAAUGGGCGAAAGCCUGACGGAGCAACGCCGCGUGAGUGAUGAAGGUCUUCGGAUCGUAAAACUCUGUUAUUAGGGAAGAACAAAUGUGUAAGUAACUAUGCACGUCUUGACGGUACCUAAUCAGAAAGCCACGGCUAACUACGUG
rnacentral:rRNA from 1 species